rnacentral:rRNA from 1 species
UGCUACAAUGGCCGGUACAAAGGGCUGCGAUCCCGUGAGGGUUAGCGAAUCCUUUAAAGCCGGUCUCAGUUCGGAUUGGGGUCUGCAACUCGACCCCAUGAAGUCGGAGUCGCUAGUAAUCGCAGAUCAGCAACGCUGCGGUGAAUACGUUCCCGGGCCUUGUACACACCGCCCGUCACGUCACGAAAGUCGGUAACACCCGAAGCCGGUGGCCUAACCCGCAAGGGGAGGAGCUGUCGAAGGUGGGACUGGCGAUUGGGACGAAGUCGUAACAAGGUAGCCGUACCGGAAGGUGCGGCUGGAUCACCUCCUUUCUAAGGAG